rnacentral:sRNA from 1 species
AUUUAAUAGAAGAUGAACCAGCAAAAUAUAUAGGAAGUUGCUGGCAGAGAAUUAGAAAGAAAAUCUGGAGACAGUGGUAUCCUGAGCACCACUGGAAGGCAGUAUUUCAAGAAAGAAGUGUCUACUGCUGCUGCAAGUAAGACGAGGUCAAAAGGUAUCCCUGGAUAUGACAACAAGGAGGACCAAUUCAGUGGGUGAGCAGGCCAUAGUCAGAUAUUAAAAGGUGUUGAGGAGUGCUCUGGAACUGAAGAAAUUGAAAGGAGUAUGGCAUUACCUGUGUUAUAAAACAAAUGAUGGUCUGUCAAACACACAAAAAUUUUUUUUUCUUUGCUUGUACUCUUCUUUCUGUAUGGAACUUUCACUCCUCCUUGAUCUCUUGAUUCCUUACAUCAUCUUUUAAUGUCCAGGUUAGAUAGGACCUCUCCUAUAAAGCCUUUCUUAGCCUUAGCCUCUUUAAGAGUAUGGGCAUUGUCUUGACCAUUAGUGCAUUCCUAGUGUUUAGCAUAACAUAAAUACUUAACUUUACUUAUGUAACUAAUAAUCAAAGCAUGGGCUUUGGAAUAAGGCAGACCUGAAAUUGAAUACCUGUUUAGUUGCUUACUUACUGUGAGACCCUGUAAAAUGUAUUUUAUCCUUUAUCCCUUGUUCCUCAGUUUUUUCAUUAGCAAAAUGUGUGGGUGGGGGUGGUAAUAAUUGUACCUAUCCCAGAGAGUUUCUAUGAGUACUAAAUUAUAUAAUGCACAACAAAAUUCAUAUUAAAGUGCCUGCCAUUGCAAGCAAUCAGUAAAUAUUAGCCAUUAUAUCCAUUGCUUUGGGAUUAUUUCUCUGGGCAGUUUUCAAGUGCCUUAAUGAUCUUCUCCUGUCCUUCAUCUGAUACACAUUCCCAUAUCAUUUGCUGGAUAUUCAUAUUAUGGAAUCAGAAUACUGUAAUGUUGACUUUCUUUUUCCCAGGAUUGAUUAUGUCAAGUGGCCAGGCAUGGAAGGAGCAAAGAAGGUUCACUCUGACAGCACUAAGGAACUUUGGUUUAGGAAAGAAGAGCUUAGAGGAACGCAUUCAGGAGGAGGCCCAACACCUCACUGAAGCAAUAAAAAAGGAGAACGGACAGCCUUUUGACCCUCAUUUCAAGAUCAACAAGGCAGUUUCCAAUAUCAUUUGCUCCAUCACCUUCGGAGAACGCUUUGAGUACCAGGAUAGUUGGUUUCAGCAGCUGCUGAAGUUACUGGAUGAAGUCACAUACUUGGAGGCUUCAAAGACAUGCCAGCUCUACAAUGUCUUUCCAUGGAUAAUGAAAUUCCUGCCUGGACCCCACCAAACUCUCUUCAGCAACUGGAAAAAACUGAAAUUGUUUGUUUCUCAUAUGAUUGACAAACACAGAAAGGACCGGAAUCCUGCAGAAACAAGAGACUUUAUUGAUGCUUACCUUAAAGAAAUGUCAAAGCACACAGGCAAUCCUACUUCAAGUUUCCAUGAAGAAAACCUCAUCUGCAGCACCCUGGACCUCUUCUUUGCCGGAACCGAGACAACUUCCACAACUCUGCGAUGGGCUCUGCUUUAUAUGGCCCUCUACCCAGAAAUCCAAGAAAAAGUACAAGCUGAGAUUGACAGAGUGAUUGGCCAGGGGCAGCAGCCGAGCACAGCCGCCCGGGAGUCCAUGCCCUACACCAAUGCUGUCAUCCAUGAGGUGCAGAGAAUGGGCAACAUCAUCCCCCUGAACGUUCCCAGGGAAGUGACAGUUGAUACCACUUUGGCUGGGUACCACCUGCCCAAGAACAUCUCACCAGACUAGGGAUCUGCCAAACUUUGGGAAAUUCUGCUUCAUGAACCUGGGGUUCUAGAAUGCUAAAAUGUGAAAGGACAUUUAAGACCACCUGGGACAACAUCAUAUUAAUGCUGGUGUUUUUAACAUAAUAUCCCCACAGGGUACCAUGAUCCUGACCAAUUUGACGGCGCUGCACAGGGACCCCACAGAGUGGGCCACCCCUGACACAUUCAAUCCGGACCAUUUUCUGGAGAAUGGACAGUUUAAGAAAAGGGAAGCCUUUAUGCCUUUCUCAAUAGGAAAGCGGGCAUGCCUCGGAGAACAGUUGGCCAGGACUGAGCUGUUUAUUUUCUUCACUUCCCUUAUGCAAAAAUUUACCUUCAGGCCCCCAAACAAUGAGAAGCUGAGCCUGAAGUUUAGAAUGGGUAUCACCAUUUCCCCAGUCAGUCACCGCCUCUGCGCUGUUCCUCGGGUGUAAUAUUGUUAAGAAAGAAAGGGGCAAGGAAAGUAAGAAGACAUGGCAUGUGUUCUGAAACCACUGGUGUCUGCUCAGAUGUGUUGGGACAAAAUGAAAGUGACUUUCAAGAAAGAUCAGAGGAAUUUGACUCAGAGAAAACUAGAUCCAAAUCCCAGCUCUACUGUCUCGUCCAAAUUAGCCUUGGGAAAAUCAUUUAUAUGCUAAACAAUUUACCUUUUUAUCUAGGAGAUGAAAAGAGGAUAAUGAUUCCUUCCAUAAAGAAAGUUCUUGUAAGAAUCAAAAGAAAUGGUGAGCUUUAAGUGGUUUGUAAACCAUAAAACACAUCAUAAAAGUUC